rnacentral:rRNA from 1 species
GUGGGGGGGGAAUGAUGCGCGAGGGAGUUCGUCCGAGACGUUGCUCGGACCUCAGAUCAGGCAAGACAACC